rnacentral:tRNA from 1 species
GGCCCCAUCGACUAGUGGUUAGGUCAUCACCCUUUCAAGGUGGUAGCACGGGUUCGAAUCCCGUUGGGGUCACCA